GUAUUUGUGGUUCAGUGGUAGGUAGAAUUCUUGCCUCUCAUGCAGAAGACCCAGGUUUGAUUCCAGGCCAGUGUA
rnacentral:tRNA from 1 species